UUCCGGUUGAUCCUGCCGGAGGUCACUGCUAUUGGGGUUCGGCUAAGCCAUGCGAGCGGAGGGCGCGGUCGCAAGAUCGUGGCCCCGCACAUGGCUCAGUAACACGUAGUCAACCUACCCUUGGGACGGGGACAACGCCGGGAAACUGGCGAUAAUCCCCGAUAGGUGAGGGAUGCUGGGAUGCUUCUUCGCUCAAAGCUCCGGCGCCCGAGGAUGGGACUGCGGCCUAUCAGGCUGUUGGUGGUGUGACGGACCACCAAACCUACGACGGGUACGGGCGAUGGGAGUCGGAGCCUGGAGAUGGGGACUGAGACAAGGCCCCAGGCCCUACGGGGCGCAGCAGGCGCGAAAACUCCGCAAUGCGCGCAAGCGUGACGGGGGAACCCCAAGUGCCGUUGGUCUUUUGAUCGACGGCUUUUCGGAAGUCCAAUAGGCUUCCGGAAUAAGGGCUGGGCAAGACUGGUGCCAGCCGCCGCGGUAACACCAGCAGCCCAAGUGGUGGCCGCGAUUAUUGGGCCUAAAGCGCUCGUAGCCGGAUCAGCAAGUCCUUUGUGAAAUCGGACCGCCCAACGGUUCGGCGUGCAAAGGAUACUGUUGGUCUUGAGACCGGGAGAGGUCGGAGGUACUCUUGGGGUAGCGGUGAAAUGCUGUAAUCCUGGGGGGACCACCAGUGGCGAAGGCGUCCGACCAGAACGGAUCUGACGGUGAGGGGCGAAGGCUAGGGGAGCGAACGGGAUUAGAUACCCCGGUAGUCCUAGCUGUAAAGCAUGCGGGCCAGGUGUCUAGCGCUCCUUGAGGGCGCUAUGUGCCGGAGGGAAGCCGUUAAGCCCGCCGCCUGGGAAGUACGGCCGCAAGGCUGAAACUUAAAGAAUUUGGCGGGGGAGCCCCUCAGGGGUGA
rnacentral:rRNA from 1 species